UGGGGAAUAUUGCGCAAUGGGGGAAACCCUGACGCAGCGACGCCGCGUGGGUGAUGAAGGCCUUCGGGUCGUAAAGCCCUGUCGGGAGGGAAGAAAAAAUCCGGACCUAAUACGUUCGGGAAUUGACGGUACCUCCUAAGGAAGCACCGGCUAACUCCGUGCCAGCAGCCGCGGUAAUACGGAGGGUGCUAGCGUUGUUCGGAAUCACUGGGCGUAAAGGGCGUGUAGGCGGUUUGUUAAGUCUGAUGUGAAAUCCCCUCGCUCAACGAGGGAACUGCGUCGGAUACUGGCAGACUUGAGUACCGGAGAGGAAGGUGGAAUUCCCGGUGUAGCGGUGAAAUGCGUAGAUAUCAAGAGGAACACCUGAGGUGAAGACGGGUUGCUGGGCUGACACUGACGCUGAGGCGCGAAAGCCAGGGGAGCAAACGGGAUUAGAUACCCCGGUAGUCCCUGAGCGGGCUGGCAAGGCGCAU
rnacentral:rRNA from 1 species